AAAAAAAGUCAAGUCUGAAGGUUUUAGAAGGGGAUUCAAAGCCUGCAAUAUUCCAAGUAUUAAUUAUCUUUUCCAUCCUCCUUCUCAAUAUAUCCCUCUACAGCCUUUCUCUCCAGCCAUCCAGCCUACUGACCAUCAAUUAUUCUAUGCCUUCAGGCCGACUCACCUGUUGAACUCAGCUUAAAAGGGCCAACAGCAUUAAGUGCUACAAAGAGAGCCCCUGCUGAGAGGGCCCCUCGGCUCCUCCCCAAGAUCCCGACAGGAAGGGGCUGCCUUUUGUCACAAUUUGACUGACUGUUCCAGGUCAAUUGAGGGUGAAUCCUCAAACCAGCAGGCUUUAAGGAGCACCUUAGGGUUCAGAGCAGACCUUUUUCUUUUUCUGCCGGUGUGUAGCAGAUCUCCUUCUGCAGCCUUGGCUGUGAUCUCUGCUCCUCUCCCUCUCUGCCUUGGCUAUCUGCCUGCUCUCCUGCUGUCCUCAUCUGUAGGAGCUGCACAGCUCAGCAAGAAACUGUUCUUACUGUUCCCAUCACAGCACUGGAAGAAAAAGAAUACUGAGAUAGUUGCCUAA
rnacentral:lncRNA from 1 species